GGUUUGAGAGAUUGAACAGUGUAGAUAUUUUUAGUAAGUUCUGAUGCUGAUAUUUUUUUUUGUGAUAAAAAGAUGAGGUGGGAUAUUAUAGAGAGGGAGGGCGAUUUGCUCUUUAGUGAGAAAUGAGAAAAUAUUUUAUCAUUAUUUAUCUGUGUGUUGAAGUGAUGUGGUAAGAGAAUAGGAAAAAGAGUGGAGAAAAAGAGAAAACAUAAAUCUGUGAGUGAGAGGAUAAGAAACGUGGAGAGAGAGAAAGAGAAGAUAGGAAGGAGAAAAAGAAAAGAGAGAAAAGAAAAGGAAAUAAGAGAAAAAGUGAAAGAGAAAGAAAAGUAAUGCCA
rnacentral:lncRNA from 1 species